GGGGCUGUAGCUCAAUGGGAAAGCACUUGCCUUGCAUGUAUGAGACACUGGGUUCAAUCCUCAGCACCUCUA
rfam:Ictidomys tridecemlineatus contig090842, whole genome shotgun sequence.